CCGUGCUAGGUGGGGCGUUAGCGGUGCCCUGAUUCCCUCCGGGGAUGACCUGCAAUCCGCUAUAGCGGGACCGAAUGCUCCGUUGAGGGUGUCGUGUGGCGGAACCACCCGUCUUGUCGGCGGUGUUGAAAGUUGGGUCCUCUGCAACGCUGUACCGUGAACCUGGUCAGGUCCGGAAGGAAGCAGCCAUAAGCGUGCUUCAGCGUGUGCCGGAGGGUCGCCUGGCUGGAGCCGCCUGGCAGGCCGGACCCCGCUGCUUGGAUUCGAAGCGGAGCGCACGG
rnacentral:SRP_RNA from 1 species